rfam:Picea glauca, whole genome shotgun sequence.
AUACUUACCUGGGUGGGGUUGAUCGAUGAUCAUGAAGGUCGAUGGCCUAGGAAGGCCACCUCCAUUGCACUUGGGAGGGGGGUCUACCUAGCAUCUCCCACUGAGGAGAGUGCACGUCAUAAUUUGUGGCAGCGGAGGUUCUCGUUCACGCGGCCUCCAC